GACCGCUCCGGUGGCCUAGUGGUUAGAAUGUUAGCCUCAGAUGCGGGAGGUCGUGGGUUCGUUCCCCGGCCGAGUCU